rnacentral:siRNA from 1 species
UAUCUUAGGUGUAUCUUAGAAUA